CACCAGGGCACAUGAAUCAAGACAGGGUUUCUCCUCCUCCUCCUCCUCCUCUGCCCCUGCCCAGCUGUCCAGGCUUGCCUUACGCCAAAAUUGUGUGUCCUUAUCAACAGCUGAGAAGCCAGGCACAUCCUACCCAACCAAAAAGAAAAGUUUGUGCAGCCACCAAGACUAUCAGCAGAGCGACAAAAGGAAAUCAGAUAUUUUAAUGCAGAGAGCAGUCUGGACCUCUCCUUGCUGUUAGGAAACGUAUACCAUCUUUGAACUUUAAGAAACUAUGUAAGACCCAAUCCAGAAAUAAGUUGGCUUCUAAUUCCUGUCUUCAUCCCAACUGAUAUCCCUGGAGUUAAAUGCCUGGAUGCUAUUCAGGUAUGAGUCUAAACUACAGUAUUAUUAAUUGCAUAAUAACAACUAGUAGUAUUAAUGUUAUCUAACUGCAGUGCAAUCUUCACCCCUGGUCAUCCUAGACCACUUAUUCAGUCACAGGAGAGGAGCUGGCAAUGCCCCAUUUCUCUACAAAGCCGAUAUCCAAAUUAGGUAGAAAACUCCUUCCAGAAGUGAUUGCUUUUUUCUAUGGUGAGUAAGACAGCCCAAAUCAGUAGGGCUAUUUCCUCACAGACUGCUCCAUCCUUCUGUCUCCACUCUCAGAAGUGCCCUGGCCUUUGAUAGACACCCAUAAAUUAGGACUAAGUCUUGGAUGGGGGGGGGAGGAGGGAGGGCUACAGAAACAGCUCAAGCAGUGCUAUCAAGUUUCUGUUGCCACUUUUCUCAAAGGCAACCUCCCUUGGUUCAAUUGUCUUGAGCAAAUGGCAAAAAGACCUGUUGACUCAUGUAGUACAGGUUUCAAUGCUGCCCAGAAAUGAAUCCUUCCAAAGACGUUAGCAUUACUUAACAGCUUAACCUGUGUUCAGCCAAGGCUUUCAAGAAGGAUUAUUAUGGACACCACUACUGCUGGUGCUACCCACUUGGAGAUAUCUCCUGGCUUGGUUCUGUGAUUACUGCCCACUGGCACCAAGAAACAAAAAUAGCAAGAUGUUACAGAGAGGGUUACUGAUACUUAUUCCUGCCUCAUGAUCUACAAACAUUUGAUAUUUUUGACAAUAAAUUCAGCUACAGGACAAAAGGGAUCUGAUGUUAAAGCAGAACUUUUACUCGCUUUCAGUAAUCAACAGAAGUUGCUUUUGUGUGAUAGUCUUGGGUGAGGAAUUUCCAUCAGAGUAGCAUUCUUUUAAUGACUUCAUUAAAUCAGUAUACAUCUAAACAGAAACUCUUAUUUAUGUUUAGCUAGGCUAAUAAGCUUACGUCAAAAGUAAUUAUGAAUCAGUUUUUGUAAUGUAACUGUAAAAAUUAAUCCCUAAGCAGUUUCGGUUAAGCUGAGAAUAAAGUGUAAGAAACAUCCACAACAAAAUGAUUUAAAAUGUAGAUGGUUUUUCGUGUUGGUACUGCUGUAGCCUGCCAACUGAUUUCAUUCAUUUUCUCUGUUUCUUCAUAGCCCUCCUUGUAGAAAGAGCAAUGCUCUCUGGUCAAGUGGAAAUGCCAGACUUUAGCUAGGCACCCUCCUGGGCUUUCCAUCCUACCCCCAGAGAGGCAUCCAGUCUUGUGCCCGGCUCAGCCUUUAAAUAAAUAGCUAUGGCUAUUCUGUAAUGCAGAGUGUUUAAAACCUUCCCAUUCCCGUGGCGAUGCUCUGUCUGCUCACAAACAGGGUUAGCAGAGCUUUUCUCUGCUCUCUGCUGAGUUCACUUGCUGCUCCUCCAAAAUCACUGGCAGCACCUGGGCCCAAAUAGACACUUCUUUAGAUAAGUGCCAGCCUAACUCUUCCAGCUUCAUAUCAGCCCGAGAUAGAAGAACUGGUUUUGGAGGAACAAUGCUAUCUAAAUAGCUCCAAAAAUGAGCAUGAUGCAAGAGGCUCCCAGAGGUAUGUUUGUGUAAAUGUAAACAUCUGUUUCUGCAUUUGUUUUCAUAUUAAUGUUAUUUUAGUAUCUAUUUCAUUGCUAGCAUUCGAAUGCCAUAUACUGACGGUGCACAUUACAGUCCUCCCACACAGAUUGUUCCUGAACGCAGCGAUAACACUCUUCCAGCACUUUAUGCAUCAGAAAUAUUUAUUCACUUGCCUUCAUGGGAAUACAAGGCAAAGCAUACUAAAUCAAUAGCUAUGCAGAGGGUUUUGUUUUUCAGUAAGUCUCCAAAAUAAAAAUGACAAACUGAUUAAACGGAUCACAUCGUGCAGUUCCAAAGUCUGCUUUAUGGGCUAGGCUAUCUUAUUAAUCAAAUGCUGAGCCAAAGGAAA